GAGUUUGAUCCUGGCUCAGGACGAACGCUGGCGGCGUGCCUAAUACAUGCAAGUCGAGCGAGCUUGCCUAGAUGAUUUUAGUGCUUGCACUAAAUGAAACUAGAUACAAGCGAGCGGCGGACGGGUGAGUAACACGUGGGUAACCUGCCCAAGAGACUGGGAUAACACCUGGAAACAGAUGCUAAUACCGGAUAACAACACUAGACGCAUGUCUAGAGUUUGAAAGAUGGUUCUGCUAUCACUCUUGGAUGGACCUGCGGUGCAUUAGCUAGUUGGUAAGGUAACGGCUUACCAAGGCAAUGAUGCAUAGCCGAGUUGAGAGACUGAUCGGCCACAUUGGGACUGAGACACGGCCCAAACUCCUACGGGAGGCAGCAGUAGGGAAUCUUCCACAAUGGACGAAAGUCUGAUGGAGCAACGCCGCGUGAGUGAAGAAGGGUUUCGGCUCGUAAAGCUCUGUUGGUAGUGAAGAAAGAUAGAGGUAGUAACUGGCCUUUAUUUGACGGUAAUUACUUAGAAAGUCACGGCUAACUACGUGCCAGCAGCCGCGGUAAUACGUAGGUGGCAAGCGUUGUCCGGAUUUAUUGGGCGUAAAGCGAGUGCAGGCGGUUCAAUAAGUCUGAUGUGAAAGCCUUCGGCUCAACCGGAGAAUUGCAUCAGAAACUGUUGAACUUGAGUGCAGAAGAGGAGAGUGGAACUCCAUGUGUAGCGGUGGAAUGCGUAGAUAUAUGGAAGAACACCAGUGGCGAAGGCGGCUCUCUGGUCUGCAACUGACGCUGAGGCUCGAAAGCAUGGGUAGCGAACAGGAUUAGAUACCCUGGUAGUCCAUGCCGUAAACGAUGAGUGCUAAGUGUUGGGAGGUUUCCGCCUCUCAGUGCUGCAGCUAACGCAUUAAGCACUCCGCCUGGGGAGUACGACCGCAAGGUUGAAACUCAAAGGAAUUGACGG
rnacentral:rRNA from 1 species